rnacentral:rRNA from 1 species
CUAUGCGCCUUGCCAGCCCGCUCAGUCAGAGUUUGAUCCUGGCUCAGGACGAACGCUGGCGGCGUGCUUAACACAUGCAAGUCGAACGGAAAGGCCCACCACCUUGGUGGUGGGUACUCGAGUGGCGAACGGGUGAGUAACACGUGGGUGAUCUGCCCCGCACUGUGGGAUAAGCCUGGGAAACUGGGUCUAAUACCACAUACGACCACACUGUAGACAGUGUGGUGGAAAGCUUUUGCGGUGUGGGAUGAGCCCGCGGCCUAUCAGCUUGUUGGUGGGUAAUGCCUACCAAGGCGGCGACGGGUAGCCGGCCUGAGAGGGUGGACGGCCACAUUGGGACUGAGACACGGCCCAG